GGCAGAUAAUGAUAAGCAGUCAACAGAAAGGCAAUGAGGAUUUAUUAUUUACUCGGGAAUAAAUCAGCAGUGUGGAAAUAUUUUUAAUUUCGGUCAACAGACAGAGCACGUGCCGCAUGUAAACGAUGCUGUUAUGGCAUAAAACAGGAAGUAAUGUCACCUGCCUGGAUGAACAGCUCACUCUGCUAGCUUGUCACCACAUUAGCAUUAGCUGCUCUGUUUCGACAAUGUUUGGCUGAAAAUACGUUCAUGCCGGCUGAAAUUCAACUGUACUGUUUUGACGGGAGACACAGUGACUUCAACCAAUGGUUACCAAAGAUCUGUCUGCAAACCUCACAACCCCCACCCACCCGGCCUCCACCCGGCCUGCGGCAGAGUUGAGGUGGAUGAUGAAAGGAUGUUUGUGUCUGUGGUGAUGAAGCACAGUGCAGGUGAGGUGAAGCUUCCUCUGCAAAGAGCCCCAGGCAGACCUGCCUCGCCCAGAGUCAGACCAGAGCGAGCCUACGGCCAGAUGCACACACAGUGGAAAAAAGGGGAGUGAUCCUCGGCCUGGAAAUGUGAGGUGAGACAGAGAAAGCUAAUCUGAGCAAAAAAAAAAAUAAAUAAAUAGAAGAAUGACGAUGGACCUGUGGCCUUGAAAGCUGGAGUGUGUGUUAGGCUUCUUUAUAACUUUUGA